rnacentral:rRNA from 1 species
GAUGAACGCUAGCGGCAGGCCUAAUACAUGCAAGUCGAACGAGAUUAAGAGGCUUGCUUCUUAUGAAAGUGGCGCACGGGUGCGUAACGCGUAUGCAACCUACCUUAAUCAGGGGGAUAGCCCGAAGAAAUUCGGAUUAAGACCGCAUAAAAACACAGGAUAGCAUUAUCCAAUGUUCAAAUAUUUAUAGGAUUAAGAUGGGCAUGCGUGUCAUUAGCUAGUUGGCGGGGUAACGGCCCACCAAGGCGACGAUGACUAGGGGAUCUGAGAGGAUGACCCCCCACACUGGUACUGAGACACGGACCAGACUCCGACGGGAGGCAGCAGUAAGGAAGAUUGGUCAAGGGAGGGAACUCUGAACCAGCCAUGCCGCGUGCAGGAAGACAGCCCUCGGGGUCGUAAACUGCUUUUAUUCGGGAAUAAACCUUUCUACGUGUAGGAAGCUGAAUGUACCGAAGGAAUAAGGAUCGGCUAACUCCGUG